rnacentral:rRNA from 1 species
UACGUAGGGGGCGAGCGUUGUUCGGAUUUACUGGGCGUAAAGAGCGCGUAGGUGGUUCGAUAAGUCGGAGGUGAAAUCCCUCGGCUCAACCGAGGAUCCGCGUCCGAUACUGUCGGACUUGAGUGCAGGAGAGGAGAGCGGAAUUCCCAGUGUAGCGGUGAAAUGCGUAGAUAUUGGGAGGAACACCGGUGGCGAAGGCGGCUCUCUGGACUGCUACUGACACUGAGGCGCGAAAGCUAGGGGAG